rnacentral:rRNA from 1 species
UUGACACAGAGAAGUAGUGACAAGAAAUAUCAAUAGAGGGGUUCUAUAAGUCUUCUAAUUGGAAUGAGAACAACGAAAACAGCUCCUCAAGAUCCCGCAGAGGGCAAGUCUGGUGUCAGCAGCCGCGGUAAUUCCACCUCCGUAAGCGUAUACCAAAGUAGUUGCAUUUAAAACGCUCGUAGUCGGAUUUUGGAGCAGCCCGUGCUUUGCGCGUAGUGCGUGCGGCGUUGGGAUGUUCUUUUGUGGAGGGCGGCGCGUCGUGGCUUCACAGGCGCGGCGUGUUGGCGCCACCGUUUACUGUGAAAAAAUUAGAGUGUUCAAAGCAGGCGUUUGCCGUGAAUACAUUACCAGGGAAUAAUAGAAUAGGACUUGGUUUCUAUUUUGUUGUUUUGUGAGAGCCGAGUAAUGAUUAAGAGGGACGGUUGGGGGCAUUUGUAUUCCAGCGUCAGAGGUGAAAUUCUUGGAUUGCUGGAAGACAAACCGCUGCGAAAGCGUUUGCCAAGAACGUUUUCAUUGAUCAAGAACGAAAGUAAGGGGAUCGAAGACGAUCAGAUACCGUCGUAGUCUUUACUAUAAACGAUGAGAACUGGGGAUCGGGGGGGCAUUAUGAUGACCCGUCCGGAACCCUCCGGGAAACCAAAGUGUUUGCUUUCUGGGGGGAGUAUGGUCGCAAGGCUGAAACUUAAAGGAAUUGACGGAAGGGCAUCACCGGGUGUGGAGCCUG